rnacentral:lncRNA from 10 species
UUGGAACUGGAGUCACUAAGAAAAAUGCAACAUGGUCAAGCACUGGGUAGAACAACACACUUUACUUACAGAGAGAAGAAACAGAACAAGAUAAGCUUAAUAGAGUGCUGUGAUCCCUUAUGGCUAGCACGUCACCCAGGCAGGUCACCCAGGCAGGUGGCUGAGAAUGGGCAAUUGGCCUACACGCACCCCUGUCGGGCUGAAGCAGAAGAACCCAACCCCUCCUCCAUGGAGUCUGAAAUAGUAAAAACUGGGUAUGUUCCUGAGGACCAUUGACUUACGAGCUUAAACGGAACAAAGGAGUGCACCCUGAGCUUAUAAGAAAAGAUACUUGCAUAUAAGACAAUAGGCCCUGCAGAGGCUAUCUGGGCUUUUGAUGUUUUGCAAUAAAAAAUUUCUAGGAUCAAGGCCCAUUUUUAUGCAGUCAACUGGGGGUGGAAAGACCCCACAAACUACCUUUCCCAACAGCCUGUCUUCCUUGUUGAGAAAAUUCUCUCAAGGUAUUUACCAGCAGUAAGUUGUUUGAUCCUCUAGAAUGUCUAAUGUCAUCUUGAUGUUGGAUUAUUGUGUUACCAAGCUAACACAAGUGAUGCCAAGAAUAGCCUGAGAAAUGCAGCAGUAAGAUGGGGAUUUAUGACUGACCCACCCCCUUGCUGGCGGGUGAGAGGAUGCCAUCUCUGUUGGAAGGAAGAAAGGCCUGCAGAUACAAUAGAAAAGCCUUCACACAAAUCUGCUGGAGAAGUAGAUCCGGGUGAAACAGCAGGAAAACUGUCGUAAAAAUGCAUAUCUCAGAUCUCCUACUAGUAGGGUCAUAAGCAACCCAUGACUCCAGCUGCUGAGGUCUAAAUCUGUCACUACUUAUGCUCGGAGACUAUUUCCUGUGGAGGAAGUAUUCUUAACCAAUUACUGCAUUUGGCUGUGAUAUGAAAGUUGGCUCAGUCCUGUAAGUUUCCAG